GUUUGAUCCUGGCUCAGAACGAACGCUGGCGGCAGGCCUAACACAUGCAAGUCGAACGCCGUAGCAAUACGGAGUGGCAGACGGGUGAGUAACGCGUGGGAACAUACCCUUCGGUUCGGAAUAACUCAGGGAAACUUGGGCUAAUACCGGAUACGUCCGCAAGGAGAAAGAUUUAUCGCCGAAGGAUUGGCCCGCGUCUGAUUAGCUAGUUGGUGAGGUAAUGGCUCACCAAGGCGACGAUCAGUAGCUGGUCUGAGAGGAUGAUCAGCCACAUUGGGACUGAGACACGGCCCAAACUCCUACGGGAGGCAGCAGUGGGGAAUAUUGGACAAUGGGCGCAAGCCUGAUCCAGCCAUGCCGCGUGAGUGAUGAAGGCCCUAGGGUUGUAAAGCUCUUUUACCCGGGAAGAUAAUGACGGUACCGGGAGAAUAAGCCCCGGCUAACUUCGUGCCAGCAGCCGCGGUAAUACGAAGGGGGCUAGCGUUGUUCGGAAUCACUGGGCGUAAAGCGCACGUAGGCGGAUCUUUAAGUCAGGGGUGAAAUCCCGAGGCUCAACCUCGGAACUGCCUUUGAUACUGGGGAUCUCGAGUCCGGGAGAGGUGAGUGGAACUGCGAGUGUAGAGGUGAAAUUCGUAGAUAUUCGCAAGAACACCAGUGGCGAAGGCGGCUCACUGGCCCGGUACUGACGCUGAGGUGCGAAAGCGUGGGGAGCAAACAGGAUUAGAUACCCUGGUAGUCCACGCCGUAAACGAUGGAUGCUAGCCGUUAGGCAGCUUGCUGUUUAGUGGCGCAGUUAACGUUUUAAGCAUCC
rnacentral:rRNA from 1 species